rnacentral:rRNA from 1 species
GACGAACGCUGGCGGCGUGCUUAACACAUGCAAGUCGAACGGAAAGGCCCUGCUUGCAGGGUACUCGAGUGGCGAACGGGUGAGUAACACGUGGGUGAUCUGCCCUGCACUUCGGGAUAAGCCUGGGAAACUGGGUCUAAUACCGGAUAUGACCUUCCAUGUAGUGUGGGGGGUGGAAAGAUUUAUCGGUGUGGGAUGAGCCCGCGGCCUAUCAGCUUGUUGGUGGGGUAAUGGCCUACCAAGGCGUCGACGGGUAGCCGGCCUGAGAGGGUGGACGGCCACAUUGGGACUGAGAUACGGCCCGGACUCCUACGGGAGGCAGCAGUGGGGAAUAUUGCACAAUGGGCGGAAGCCUUAUGCAGCGACGCCGCGUGGGGGAUGACGGCCUUCGGGUUGUAAACCUCUUUCGACAGGGACGAAGCUUCGGUGACGGUACCUGUAUAAGAAGCACCGGCUAACUACGUG